AAUAUUUCACAAUGGGGGAAACCCUGAUGCAGCGACGCCGCGUGAGCGAAGAAGGNCUNNGGGUCNUNAAGCACUGUCCUAAGNNNNNAAACGGACGGUCCCUUAGGAGGAAUACCUUGCUAACUACGUGCCAGCAGCCGCGGUAAUACGUAGGGGGCUAGCGUUAGCCGGAAUUAUUGGGCGUAAAGGGUGCGUAGGCUGCCUUUUAAGUCAGAUGUGAAAGGCUACGGCUUAACCGUAGUUAGCAUUUGAAACUAAAAGGCUUGAGUGCAGGAGAGGAGAGUGGAAUUCCUAGUGUAGCGGUGAAAUGCGUAGAUAUUAGGAGGAACACCAGUGGCGAAGGCGACUCUCUGGACUGCAACUGACGCUGAGGCACGAAAGCGUGGGGAGCGAACA
rnacentral:rRNA from 1 species